ACGGCUCAGUAACACGUGGACAACCUACCCUGAGGUCGGGGAUAAACCCGGGAAACUGGAUAUAAUACCCGAUAGAUCUAGAUCGCUGGAAUGCUUUUAGGUCUAAAGUUCCGACGCCUCAGGAUGGGUCUGCGGCCUAUCAGGGUAGUAGUGGGUGUAAAGUACCUACUAGCCUACGACGGGUACGGGUUGUGAGAGCAAGAGCCCGGAGAUGGAUUCUGAGACACGAAUCCAGGCCCUACGGGGUGCAGCAGGCGCGAAACCUUUACAAUGCUGGCAACAGCGAUAAGGGGACCUCGAGUGCUACGAUACAAUCGUGGCUGUCUAGUUGCCUAAAAAGCAAUUGAUAGCAAGGGCCGGGCAAGACCGGUGCCAGCCGCCGCGGUAACACCGGCGGCUCGAGUGGUAACCGCUAUUAUUGGGUCUAAAGGGUCUGUAGCCGGCUUAGUUAGUCUCUUGAGAAAUCUGGCCGCUCAACGGUCAGGCGUUCAGGGGAUACUGCUAAAGCUCGAGACCGGGAGAGGUGAGAGGUACUUCAGGGGUAGGGGUGAAAUCUUGUAAUCCUUGAAGGACCACCAGUGGCGAAGGCGUCUCACCAGAACGGAUCUGACGGCAAGGGACGAAAGCUAGGGGCACGAACCGGAUUAGAUACCCGGGUAGUCCUAGCCGUAAACGAUACUCGCUAGGUGUCGGCCACGGUGCGACCGUGGUCGGUGCCGUAGGGAAGCCGUGAAGCGAGCCACCUGGGAAGUACGGCCGCAAGGCUGAAACUUAAAGGAAUUGGCGGGGGAGCAC
rnacentral:rRNA from 1 species